ensembl:snoRNA
AAUACUCUGUAGAUGUGUUUGUUCAACCGGUGGACCAAAGCAUGAAAGACAGGUACAAAAAUAAAUUCUCUUUCACAACCCAGAGCUCAUUGUUCUGCAUGAGUUAGACACAUACAAGAAGGAAUAUG